GGAUUUUGGGUAUUCCGAGAAGUAAAGAAGUUAUUUCACUUUUUCUUAAACAUAUUGUUUUCAACUGGUGAAGAUGGUCAUUUCCCUGGACAGUCACUCCCUGACUGGAGAUUCUGUCACCCAGAGGGUGUUUGCAUCUGGGCAGUAGGAGCACCAGAUGCCCAUCAUUCCUUGGCUUGCAGGGAGGUCCAGGGCCUUUCAGCCUGGCCCACGUGGUGAAUAUCCAGCGACAAUGGCACAAUUACACCCCCUGCCGGGGAACAGGAAGUUGCUCUGAAUCACUAGAGUGGACGUGGGAACAAAGAGAGGGACUGGAACGCAACCAGGUUCGAGUCCUGCAAGCGUCGUGCCUUCCGUGAAGGGCUGCAAAGCAGAAGCAGGGCCUCUCUCUCCCUUCUCCGCCUCCUCUCUGCAUCUCUCCAGCCGGCGGCAUCCUUCGUUUUCCAGCCGGUGUGGCCGCCU